rnacentral:rRNA from 1 species
GACAGAGGUGCCGAGCGUUAGGCGGAAUCACUGGGCUUAAAGCGUGUGUAGGCGGAUGCCUAAGUACCUUGUGAAAUCCCCCGGCUUAACCGGGGAACUGCUUGGUAUACUGGGUGUCUUGAGCCACUUAGGGGCGACCGGAACAAACGGUGGAGCGGUGAAAUGCGUAGAUAUCGUUUGGAACGCCAAUGGUGAAAACAGGUCGCUGGGAGUGUGCUGACGCUGAGACUCGAAAGCGUGGGGAGCAAACAGG